rnacentral:rRNA from 1 species
CCUACGGGAGGCAGCAGUGAGGAAUAUUGGUCAAUGGACGAGAGUCUGAACCAGCCAAGUAGCGUGAAGGAUGACUGCCCUAUGGGUCGCAAACUUCUUUUAUCAAGGAAUAAAACGCGGCACGUGUGCCUUCCUGCAUGUACUCUAUGAAUAAGGAUCGGCUAACUCCGUGCCAGCAGCCGCGGUAAUACGGAGGAUCCGAGCGUUAUCCGGAUUUAUUGGGUUUAAAGGGUGCGCAGGCGGUCAUGUAAGUUAGGGGUGAAAGCUCGAUGCUCAACCUCGAAACUGCCUCUGAUACUGUCGGACUUGAGUGUAGUUGCGGAAGGCGGAAUGUGUGGUGUAGCGGUGAAAUGCUUAGAUAUCGCACAGAACACCGAUUGCGAAGGCAGCUUGCCAAGCUAUUACUGACGCUGAGGCACGAAAGCGUGGGGAGCGAACAGGAUUAGAUACCCCAGUAGUC